AUGUAUGAUACAAAGAAAAAAUUGAAGUAUGCGGUGAUAAAGUGGGCUAUGUCUACGCAGAGUGUUUUCCGGACACACGUAUCAAGUCCAACAAACUAUACUGUGAAAUGUGUUGAAACAGGUUGUCCUGGGAAGGUGCACGGGCACGUGCUGAAGUAUAACAUCCACUCGGUUGUCACCAAUGUCGUCCCAUAUAAUUGUGUGAGGAAAAACCUUCAGGUGAAUCAUCCAAACCUGACUUCACCAACACCACCGACACAGACCGUGACAGACGAGGUUAUCUAUGGUCAUGGUUAUCGUGAGCCUCGCCCACCGCCUCAGCGUUUAUCACCUUUCGGUCCUCGUCCGAGGAAGACCCAGAUGCGUCGUCGUCCCAGCAGUGAUAUGAUUAUCUAUGUAUGA
rnacentral:rRNA from 1 species